UCAAGGGACAGAGAUAACUGGGGGCAUAGCCCAUGCAAAUACUCGGUGACCAGGAGAGUGGCCGUGUGGAGAAGCAGGGCAGGAAUGUGACCACCCAGCUGGGUGAGGGGCUGCUGGCGUGGAGGCAGCUGCCUGCUCAGCCCAGCCCAGCUGCAUUUUCUCCUCUUUCACCCUGGUGAGAACCAGCCUUCCUUCGGUUCUGCCUGAGGACCCUGUAGGUGCUGAAAAUGGAAUACAGCUGGCAGGUAGUGGGCGGACAGUGAAAACGUGCCCUGAUAUUAUUCUGAGAAAAAAAAAGAGCUUUAUUGCUUCUUGUCAGACUAUACUAUGUUUUAGGAAGAGUUGGGUUCCCCCAAAGAGAAGGUGCAGGGUGCUGGGAGCAGGAUCCUCAGUUUGUAAGAACGCACUCACUGCUCCAAGGCAGCCAACAAAAAAUUUUUAAAAAGGGUGAUUGAAGGUUCAACUUUUGACAUGUAAAAUCCAGUCAUAGCUUGGGUUUCCCGGAAGCAGUCCCUGAGACAGAGAUUUUAGUGCAACAGUUUAUUUGGGAGGCGAUCCUGGGAAACACCAGAAGGGAAGUGGAAAAUUGAAAUGUCGAAGGAAGCCAAUAAAAUAUGCGUUAUUGAGCAGAUGGCCCCUGUGACCAACUAGGCUCAGUAUCUCUGGGGAACCCCCAGAGACAGUGUAGAGUAAAUUCCAGAAUUAUGCCAUCCAAGGGAAAAGGGAGCUGAAUCAUUCAUCUCUCAGCUGUUGCAAGCUAUUGGUGGAGGGAUUUUCCCAAGAGGCAUUACCUCCCAGGCUUGUCCUCACUUUGCCUGUGUGGCCUCCAGUGGUCAGACAGAACCCAAAGGAAAAGAGCCAGGGUGCGGAUUGGCAGAAGCUAUUCUGGCCCAUGUGCAGAGCAUCAAGAAUGUGUGCUGCAAAAGAUCCCUAUCACGUCCUCGACUUUCCUGCAAGAGGCAGAUUAUUACAGUCCCCUGGGAGCCACUCAGGGGGAGUCUCAGGGCACAGAGGUUAUUUGAUUCAAUUACAAGAAAUCUGAUGAGUAUCUACAAGGAACUCAGAGCUGUGGGAGAAGAGAAAAAAGUGCAUGAAGUAAAGAAAAAGCAGGGAAUGAGAGAAAAAAAUGGAGGAGUGAGUGCCACAGCCCAGUCAGUAAGUGCUACGUAAGUGCCUGGAAGAGCGAGAGAGGGUGGGGACUAUGCUGGGAAGUCCAAGACGCAGGGUCUAUGUGGAUGGUAGCUAACACAAUAGUGGUCUCCCCCCAAGAAGCAAAGCAAUGGCAUAGAACUAAGAACUCUAACUCAAGACAGUUUUCCUGAAAUACAACAACUACAUUUUGAAAAUUACCAUAUUCCUGAGAAUAUUGACCCAGAAUGAUCAACACUGAGACAUAUUCUAGCAAAAUUUGGGGGCUUACAAAAAGGAAAAGAAAUCCUUUGGGCAAGAACCUGACCCCGAAAGUGAAUUCGAUUAUCAUCAGAUUUUUGACAACGAUGUUUUAUGCUAGAAAAAAAUGGAGUAACAUCUUUCAGACAGCCCCUUCCUACAGACUCUUGGAAAGAACUAGCUGUAGACAAGCAAAAUGGCUAGAGGACAGUGACACAGGGCUGGGGUUGAUAGUUACUCUAGAGCUAAGAUUAAAUGAGGGCUAAACCGGAGGCAGGACAGUGCAUAUGAUGGUUAUACGAUCUGACAAUGCAGAUAUAGGAUGACCACAAAAAUCGGGGGAAAUGGGAAAGCAUAUGAAGACAUUUUUUUGUUUGUUUUUGAGACAACCUGUUGCCCAGGCUGGAAUGCAAUGGUGGAUUCAUAACUCAC
rnacentral:lncRNA from 1 species